rnacentral:rRNA from 1 species
UUUUUAAUCCAUAUCCACCUUGUGUGCAAUGUCAGUCGUUCUCUCUUUUGAGAGCGACCAAACAUCAACUUAUUCUUUAACUCUUUGUCUGAAAAAUAUUAUGAAUAAAAUAAUUCAAAAUACAACUUUCAACAACGGAUCUCUUGGCUCUCGCAUCGAUGGAGAACGCAGCGAAAUGCGAUACGUAAUGUGAAUUGCAGAAUUCAGUGAAUCAUCGAAUCUUUGAACGCAUAUUGCGCUCUUUGGUAUUCCGAAGAGCAUGCUUGUUUGAGUAUCAGUAAACACCUCAAAGUCUUCAAUUUGUUUUGAAUGGCUUUGGACUUGAGCAAUCCCAACACCAGUCUUUACGAUCGGUGGAGGGUUGCUUGAAAUGCAGGUGCAGCUGGACAUUCUCCUGAGCUAAAAGCAUAUUUAUUUAGUCCCGUCAAACGGAUUAUUACUUUUGCUGCAGCUAACAUAAAGGGAGUUUGACCGUAUUGGCUGACUGAUGCAGGAUUUCACAAGGGUCGGCAACGAUUCUUGUAAAACUCGAUCUCAAAUCAAGUAAGACUACCCGCUGAACUUAAGCAUAUCAAUAAGCGGAGGAAAAGAAACUAACAAGGAUUCCCCUAGUAACGGCGAGUGAAGCGGGAUGAGCUCAAAUUUAAAAUCUGGCUGGUUUACUAGUCCGA